rnacentral:rRNA from 1 species
UACGUAGGGUGCGAGCGUUGUCCGGAAUUACUGGGCGUAAAGAGCUCGUAGGUGGUUUGUCGCGUUGUCCGUGAAAACUCACAACUCAAUUGUGGGCGUGCGGGCGAUACGGGCAGACUGGAGUACUGCAGGGGAGACUGGAAUUCCUGGUGUAGCGGUGGAAUGCGCAGAUAUCAGGAGGAACACCCGUGGCGGAAGGCGGCUCUCUGGGACGGUACUGACGGCUGAGACGCGAAAGCGUGGGGAGCGAACAGG